AGAGUUUGAUCCUGGCUCAGGAUGAACGCUGGCGGUAUGCUUAACACAUGCAAGUCGAACGGAUGUUUUCGGACAUUAGUGGCGGACGGGUGAGUAACGCGUGAGAAUCUAGCUUCAGGUUGGGGACAACAGUUGGAAACGACUGCUAAUACCGAAUGUGCCGAGAGGUGAAAGAUUUAUUGCCUGAAGAAGAGCUCGCGUCUGAUUAGCUAGUUGGUGGGGUAAGAGCUUACCAAGGCGACGAUCGGUAGCUGGUCUGAGAGGACGAUCAGCCACACUGGGACUGAGACACGGCCCAGACUCCUACGGGAGGCAGCAGUGGGGAAUUUUCCGCAAUGGGCGAAAGCCUGACGGAGCAAUACCGCGUGAGGGAAGAAGGCUCUUGGGUUGUAAACCUCUUUUCUUAGGGAAGAAAAAAAUGACGGUACCUAAUGAAUCAGCAUCGGCUAACUCCGUGCCAGCAGCCGCGGUAAUACGGAGGAUGCAAGCGUUAUUCGGAAUGAUUGGGCGUAAAGCGUCCGCAGGUGGCAUAUCAAGUUUGCGGUUAAAGGUUCUGGCUCAACCAGAGACAGGCCGUGAAAACUGAUAAGCUAGAGUAUGGUAGGGGCAGAGGGAAUUCCCAGUGUAGCGGUGAAAUGCGUAGAGAUUGGGAAGAACACCGGUGGCGAAAGCGCUCUGCUAGGCCAAAACUGACACUGAGGGACGAAAGCUAGGGGAGCGAAUGGGAUUAGAUACCCCAGUAGUCCUAGCCGUAAACGAUGGAUACCAGGUGUAGCUUGUAUCGACCCAAGCUGUGCCGUAGCUAACGCGUUAAGUA
rnacentral:rRNA from 1 species